AGCAGCAGCCGCGGUAACACGAGGGUCCCGAGCGUUGUCGGAAUCACUGGGCGUAAAGGGAGCGUAGGCGGCGUGGUAAGUCAGAUGUGAAAUCCCGGGGCUCAACCCCGGAACUGCAUCCGAUACUGCCAUGCUAGAGGAUUGGAGAGGUAGCUGGAAUUCUUGGUGUAGCAGUGAAAUGCGUGGAGAUCAAGAGGGACACUCGUGGCGAAAGCGAGCUACUGGACAAUAACUGACGCUGAGGCUCGAAGGCCAGGGUAGCGAAAGGGAUUAGAGACCCCAGUAGUCCCUGUCUCUUAUACA
rnacentral:rRNA from 1 species